UACGUAGGUGGCAAGCGUUGUCCGGAUUUACUGGGCGUAAAGAGCGCGCAGGCGGUCGAUUUAGUCGCGUGUGAAAGCCCCCGGCUCAACUGGGGAGGGUCACGCGAUACUGAUCGACUCGAAGGCAGGAGAGGGUAGUGGAAUUCCCGGUGUAGUGGUGAAAUGCGUAGAUAUCGGGAGGAACACCAGUGGCGAAGGCGGCGUUCUGGACUGCAACUGACACUGAGGAACGAAAGCCAGGGGAGCAAACGGG
rnacentral:rRNA from 1 species